rnacentral:lncRNA from 1 species
CCAGGACCUGGUGAGGGCAGGGUCACAAGGAAAGGCUGUGGGGAAAUCCUGGAGCCUCUGGAGCAGAACGCUUUGACUACUUGAUGCAGAUGGAGACGUCUUCUAUCAACACCUUCAGGAACUCACAUACAGAGCACAAUCAGCCCUCAGCCAACGUGGGCCUGCCAGGCCACCUGCUCCAGUGCCACCUGCCCCAGUGCCCCCGCACAUACCCUGCCUACACCACACACACGGCCCCGGUGGUGAAGAUGCUCAUGGAGCAGGAUGGGAGGAGAAGGCCCACAGCCACCUGUCCUGUGGCCACUGAGCAGAGCACAGCAUCACCAGGAGCUGCCACUGCAGGGACGCCCUCAGUGCCAUCCACAGCGAGUGGAGGCAGCAGCAGUGAAGGUGUGGAGGGCUCCGUGGAGAAGGCAGUGCCCAAGAGCAGCUUGUCACCACCAAGUGUUUGCAGCAGGGUGAUCUUUGCCAGAAAGGCUCCGCUGCGUGUGGCACCGUGCAGCAAGAAGAAAUGAGACCUGUGUAGCUGGGAACAAACAGAACAAGGAGAAUCUCCACUGUUUUCCUGAGUGCAUUAAACUACAAGUGAAAACAGCACUCUCAGCUUUCAGAACCUUUCCCUCAAAGCCCCAUUGGAAUGAAAGAUAAGCACAGAAGGGGGUGAUGCUGCAUUUUGCAAUUGUCUGGACAAAACUCAGCCCUACAGCCAGGCAGUGCCCACAGCGUGUGCAGGGCAGGGCAGGAUGGAGACGUGGAUGCCUGUGUGCCCACGCAGCCUGGAACACAGAGCCCUGUUUUCUGCUCCACUGCAGCUCAUCCCCCUGCUGGCACUGCAGCUUUGGGUGCCUCUGGUGGGGGCUGGGAUGGGGGUAACAACCCUCUGGGGGGCUCUGUGCAUCCCUCUCUGCAUCCCAGUGAGAUGUGGGGCUGCUGUGCAGAAGAUGCACUGAGCAAAUCUGUGCCCCACUCGCUUCUUGGAGCACAGAAUAGAAGGGAGGAAGGCUGACUGCUGACACUGAGGACUGGUCUUUGCACUUACCAAAUGUAUGUAUGUAUACGCACAUGUAUAGGUACCUUCAUGCACAAGUGAACCAAAAGCAAAGCAGCUGCAAAGCUGAGUGUGCAGCAGGUGGACGAGCUGCUUUCCUUUCUCACUCAUAGCUGAUGUUGUCUCUGAUGACAGAGAUGCUAAGGUCAGAACUGCAAUGUGAGAUGUGCUGUGUGUUGCUGCCCAGAUCUGUCUGUAUUCAUGCUUCAGCAGCUCCAUCCCAGCAGCAGUGACUGAUGCUUCAGUACCAGGCAUGUCAAAGCUGCUGGAAAAAUGCUCUGAAGGAGCAGCUUCCUGCAGCACUAUGGCUGGAGAUAGAAAAGCUUGAGGGACUUAAUGGUUUUAUCAAAAGCAAUAGUUGGAAAUGCAGUGUAUCUUCAGCAAAGGUGGAAAUGCUCCCUCUCUAUCAGUG